rnacentral:tRNA from 1 species
UGGGGUGUAGCUCAGUGGUAGAGCCCUUGCCUAUCAUGUGCUGGCAUGGGGUUCAAUCCCCAGGGACCCUAA